rnacentral:snRNA from 1 species
UCACUUACCUGGACGGGGUCAAUGGUCGAUCAAGAAGGUCCAUGGCCUAGGUUGGUGACCUCCAUUGCACUUAGGAGGGGUGCCCGCCUAAGGUCGGCCCAAGUGGUCGAGCCUACGUCAUAAUUUGUGGCAGUGGAGGCCAGCGUUCGCGCGGCCUCUU